rnacentral:rRNA from 1 species
AUUGAACGCUGGCGGCAGGCCUAACACAUGCAAGUAGAACGAGUGGCGGACGGGGGAGUAAUGACUGGGAAACUGCCUGAUGGAGGGGGAUAACUCCUGGACACGGUAGCUAAUUCCGCAUACCAUCAGAUGUGCCCAGUUGGGAUGAGCUUGUGGGGGGGGUAACGGCUCACCAAGGCGACGAUCCCUAGCUGGUCUGAGAGGAUGACCAGCAACACUGGAACGGAGACACGAUCCAGAAUCCUACGGGAGGCAGCAGUGGGGAAAAGUGCACAAUCGGCGAAAGCCUGAUGCAGCCAUGCCGCGGUGAUGAAGAAGGCCUUCGGGUUGUAAAGUACUUUCAGUGGGGAGGCGUUACCCGCAGAAGAAGCAACGGCUAACUCCGUGCCAGCAGCCGCGGUAAUUC